rfam:Lupinus angustifolius cultivar Tanjil chromosome LG10, whole genome shotgun sequence.
GUUUGAGGAGGCGAUGUGAUUGGGCCCAUUUGGGCUCAGGAAAGUCCCCGGGCCUUAUCUGCAGCGAUGCAGCCUUGGUAACAAGGAACUUGUAGUAAAGAUUCGACCAGAAUGGGCUGAGACACGUGUGGAGCCUAGAAUCUAGCACAAGAUGUUGGCCAAUUUCACAGCUCAUUCACAUGGUCCUUGUGCCUAACUGAACGGGGCUUAUGCCCUCCUCAUC